ensembl:rRNA 5S_rRNA 5S ribosomal RNA
UCAGGCCUAUGGUCAUACCUGAAUGUUCCUGAUCUCAUCUGAUCUCCCAAGCUAAGCAGGGUCAGGCUUGGUUAGUAAUUGGAUGGGAGAUUAAUCAUCACAUCAGUUUCAGUUUUAA